UAACCUUUUAAGUUAAAGACUAGGAGUCUAAGYCUCCUCUUAAUGA
rnacentral:tRNA from 1 species